rnacentral:rRNA from 1 species
UACAGAGGGGGCAAGCGUUGUUCGGAAUUACUGGGCGUAAAGGGCGCGUAGGCGGCCUGUUAAGUCGAACGUGAAAUCCCCGGGCUCAACCCGGGAACUGCGUCCGAUAUUGGCAGGCUUGAAUCCGGGAGAGGGAUGCGGAAUUCCAGGUGUAGCGGUGAAAUGCGUAGAUAUCUGGAGGAACACCGGUGGCGAAGGCGGCAUCCUGGACCGGCAUUGACGCUGAGGCGCGAAAGCCAGGGGAGCAAACGGG